AAACCCAAGGAGAGUGCCUCUGAGCUGUAUCUCUGUAGGGCCAGCAAGCAUCCUGGUUUCAUACAGCUGAGCAUCUGCGUAGGAGGAGGACACACCUAAGACUUCCCUUACCUCCUGAAUGUAGCAGAAGUGGCUGGAAGAGGCUUUUCUGUGUUUCCUAAGCCGAGACAGCAGCUGAGUAACCAGGGGCAGCUGAGGAUGGCUAUAGGAUUUCAGUCAGACGCUGCCGCUCUUCCGUUGGCGAUCUGGAAUCCCCAGCCACUCCCCGGCCAUUUCCACCAGGACGGAGAUUGCUCUCUGAGGUUUUAUUGAGCAAAGCACCUGACUGGAAUAGGCUAAUGUGAUGGCCAGCUGUACCUACCUCAAGAUGGCUCUGAGGAGAACCAUCUGGACGAGAGCCCAUCAGAUGUGGCUAACUUUGAUUCAGAGUGAGGUGAGGAGAGCACUACCAUCAACUGUGUCACCAGCAUCCAGAUUUGACGCUUAGUGUCAUUUACACUGGCAGCAUCUCCUGACCCCAGACCUGUGUGUUCUCUCCUGGCCUCAGUGUCAUUUCUGAGAAAAAGAAAUGGGCAUCGAAUAUCACUUGUUUGUGAUAGGCUGAAUACGUCCUCUCUGAAUAAGCCUCCACCCCUUCCCCCAGAGCCCUCAAAUGUUCAUU
rnacentral:lncRNA from 1 species